rnacentral:misc_RNA from 1 species
GAGCAGUGAAGGUUUUACAGCAGCCUUGAAAAAAACACCGACCGGCUGCCGACCAAGUAGUUGGAAACAUGGGAGAAGCGGAUUGGCAGUCUUCAUGCACGUAGCUAUCGCGUCAGGGAUUCGACUUCCAACAAGGAGGUUCAAAGAACGCCAUGUCAGAAAACCGACACCAGAACUGGGAAGAUUUGGCGCGAGCCGCUCGGGUUGAGCAAGACCCUGAAAAGUUGAUCGAAAUUGUCGAAGAACUAAAUCGCGUACUCGAAGAACGCAGC